GGAUCGACCCACCCACGCACAAAAAAGAGGUUUCAUCUCUUCAAGCAGGCCGAGCCACAGGUUCCUCCGCACCCUCGGCCUUCCCUCCCCUCACCAGUUUCCAGCCGCGAGCGAACCCGACGCGAGUGCGGUGCGAGGGAGAGAGAAGAGGGGACUAGCACCAUGGCCGCCAGGCUGCUGCUCCUCUCCUUCGAUUGCCCGGCCGUCGCUGGCGGGCGGCGGUCUCGUCUGUCUGCAGUGCCACGGAUGUCUUCCGGUGCACCCCUCGUGCGGCCCCCAGCCUCAUCCGUCCGCGCGUUCGCGGUCACCGCCGCUAGAGGCAAGCUGCCGCACCGCACCUCCGUGGCUGUGGAGGGUGGUGGAGUUUACACUGUUGGUGACUUUAUGACUAAAAGGGAACAACUCCAUGUUGUGAAACCAUCCACUUCAGUAGAUGAAGCUCUUGAGAGGCUGGUGGAGCAUCGAAUAACUGGCUUUCCUGUUACCGAUGAUCACUGGAAUUUGGUUGGUGUGGUCUCAGAUUAUGAUCUGUUAGCACUGGACUCGAUAUCAGGAAAUGGACAGACUGAAGCUGACAUAUUUCCUGAGGUGGACAGCACUUGGAAGGAAUUGGUCAUGUUCCAGCCAUCUAUUCUCAAAUCUGAAGAGAUUACUCUUGGGCAUAGAGGUUUGUAUGUUGAUGACACAGGGUACAUGAUCAGAGGUGGUCAUGGCCAGAGGUAUAGUGCCAGAGUAUUAGGGCAGGAAAGAGUCCAGGCUGGUGAGGUGAAGAACCAAUCCAAUCUUUCAAGAAGAGGAGCAGUCUGCAUGUUACUCCAGGAAUUUGAAUGCCAUCAAGCCAUGCAAGAAAUUCGAGCUUCUUAUCAUCUUGACAAGGAGCAUAUAUGUUAGUUAGGGUCCAACAUGAGCCACAUCUGGUCGAUUGAAAGCAACUGAGAGGGCAUAUUCAUUCUGAAAGAGCACUUCUCCAGAAAAUUGAGAUGAGGCCCAGACAGUUAGUAAUCCUCCUGAUGGUAAAUAAGCAAAACAAUCAAAUCUGGCUAGGCAGAUUUUCUGAUGAAGGAAAUGUCUAUAAUUUCUUUCUUGAUUUCCUGAAAACAGACCAUAGAACAACCACUCUCAUCAAUCUUAUUCUGGAUAUGCAGCCAUUUAUCUGGAGAAUUGAUGCCUCUUAUGUUCCAGUUAAGUACUUUCCAAGCUUGCUUGGUCACUGUGAACAAAUAGAGGGAGUGGGGUGCACAAGGGUACAUAGCAAUGACCUGAGAGGGACCAGGCCAAGGCAACAACAUAUACAAACUGCAGAUUAUCAUCAUAGUCACAUAGACCUUUAACUGAACAUAAAGCCAUAAGAGUCUGCAUUACAUAAACAUUCAGAAACUGGAACUGGAAGGCUAAGUAAUAAGCCAUAGGAUAACAAAGGAAGCUGACUAGAGCUGCAGUUCCUCUUUCCUUCACUGCCUUACUUCUUCUUGGGGUUCUUCUUGGUCUUGGCAUCAUCAGGAACCUUCUUGGAUGUUUUCUGCUUCUUCUGCACUGGAGGCUUGCUCUCCACCAUCCCAAAUUUAUCAUAGAGGCUCUUGACCACCUUCUUGUUAAGUGGAGGAGUAUCUGCAGCACAUGCAAGACAAUCUUUGUCAAGGCAUGUCUUACCCUUGUAGCCCUUGGCCAGUUGCUUGAGUCUAGCACUCCUACUAACUUCUGAGACCACUAGGGGAGUUUUCUGUUGCCUUCUCCUGAUGUGCACCACAGAAGUACUAAAAUGCUCCACUUGCACAACAUGAGAGGAUCUAAGUGCCUGUGGGGGUGGAAUAACCCUUGGUAGCAUUCUGUCCAGCCAAAAACAGAGAGCACACUGGCGGGGCUUCUGAUGGGCAGACUUGAGGGACCAGAAAAACUGAAAAGACAGUCCAUUUGAAUUGCCUUCCUGGAUUAACUGCCAAAGCUUCGAUUGAAGAAUAUUUUUUACCCUCACAAAAUCCUCAGAUGACAGCAAUUUAGCUAUGAAAAAGUCAGCCCAAGAUACUGGAACAGACAGACUGGCAGUUUGGUAAAGCAGGACAAAAGUGUUUCUGCCAGGCAGCUCUUCCUUCCUGAGAGAAGACAGCAGUAAGCUGGAGAUUGUCUGCAGUUUGAACCUCUUUGUCCUGGGUCUGAACAACAUUCUUCUCCAAAUCAGCUUGAACAGGAUUGCCUAUAGCAGAGGAGAGAGUGGCAGGUGUUGUCAUUGCAAUCUGAGGUGUUUCAGUAGCUGCACAAUGAGAGAAGACAGGGGGUAGACUGUAGAAUAGGUUCUGACUCAAGUAGCACCUCAUGCUUUGCAUCUGCAAAAGUAAAAGUCCCCUCCACUGCAGCACAAGGCAAAUAGUCCAACUUUCUCUGGUGAGAGGAUAGUGCAGUCAGAGGCAGAGCAUCAUAAUCCACUUGCUGUUCAAGUACCACCAUACCAAGAUGGAUGUUCAUAAUAAUAUUGCCAGCUUGCUGGACUGGAACAUCAACUAGCUUUUCAUUUGGAACUCCCAUGCUCACCUGGAAUGCAUUGACGGAAUCACUAGAAGUGUUCUCUUGAGUCCUGAGUCAGAACUGAAGGUCACAGUCAGAUCACUAAUGGCCAUCUCCACCACAGGAACAUUAAGAUCCAGAUCAUUGGCCUGCACUUCAUGAAGAAUUGGUUGAAUAGGAGGAUGAUUAUGAAUCACAGGAUUAAGCAUCUCUUCCAGUUUCUGGAAUUCCUCCUGAUUGAGCUCAUGAGCCCCUGCUAUAAGAUCACUGAUCUCCAGGAAUUCUCCUGAUUAGGGUCAGAAUUAUGCUGUAAAUGCUGAUCAUGCUGCUCCUCGUGCCCAAUGUCAGCAGGCUGAAUCCCCUGGCUGAUCAUCCCAUUCUGGCCAAAACUGCUCCUCAUGCCCAAUGUCAGCAGGCUGAAUCCCUGCUGAUCAUCCCUCCGGCCCAGAUGGUUUACCGGUGCUUUUUUCAGAGCUUGCUGGAACACCAUCAAAUCAGAUGUCAUGGUGGUGAUUAACCUCUUCUCCAACCUGCAAAUGGCUAACUUUCAUUGGCUCAAUUUGCCAGACAUUGUUUUGAUCCCCAAGAAAGAGUCUGAGCCGUGUACUACCUUCCAUCAACGUGUCUAAAGGCAUCAAGAAGAGUCUGAGCAACAAGAUGAAGGCUUUCCUUUGGGGCUGUACCUAAAGGAUUUAUGGUGGAAAAUGCAAGCUUAAUUGGGAGCAUGUUUGUCGUCCAGCCGAUCUGGGAGGGCUUGGAGUUCUCCACCUCGGCAAGUUCUCCUGCGCCCUGCGCCUCUGCUGGUUGUGGCUUGUUUGGACAUCCCGGAGGCCUUGGGUUGGUCUCGAUCUCCAUUGCUACCACUCCUCUGGUUGUGGUUUGUGUGGAUUUGAACCUAGUUUCAUGUUAUUCUUUAUGCGAACACAUUUUUUCAUAUUCUCUGGAAAAGAGAUGCGGAAUAACAUCACUCUCAGUCUUGCAGAAUUUUCAGAGUGAUCUUUAUAAAACCAUCUGGCUAGUUUUAUUUUGUAAUAUGGUUCAAUCGUUUCUUUUC